AGAGGCCAAAGCCCAAGCUGCCAGAAAAGCGUCCCUGCUCUUCUCCUUCCAGCACCGUGGCUCCUCAUUGGAUAGGGUUGUGUAGACCCGCCUUCUGUCUCUGGACAUGCAGCUCUUGAUCUUCUAAGCCGCUUGACAGUCGUUUUCAAAGUUGUCUCGAAGGGUCCUGUGGGGAGUGAGAGGAUGCUGCUUUUCACCAGCUCGUAAUAUCAGAAAGGACUGUCUCAGGGCCGCGCUUGGCUGACAACACAGCUUGAUGCAACCUGAGCAUCGGAUGCUGGAUCUGCUUCAGAGAGGCCGCACUGAUCCCGUGGGGCAUGGUCCAUGUCUGGGUGCCUUGUAGUCUGACUGUACUGGAACAUCCAUGCAGGCUUUUAAAAACACCUGAUAAAAGCCACUCGGAGAAGGAAGGGUUUAUUCUGGCGUAUGGUCUGAGGGUGCAGUUUGUCAUGGUGGCUGGAGCUUGAAGCUGCUGGUCACCAUAUCUGUAGUCAGGAAGUAGAGAGAGAAGAUGCGGGAAUGCCUUGCUUUCUUUUGUAUGUAGCUGUGGAUGCCAGCACAUGGGACCGCACUACCUGAAUGUAACCACAGCCACUCUGAGUUCACAUGUACAAUGGCUGUGGCAUGUUGAGACGACAGCAUUUUGUGGCCCUCUUCCCCAUUCUCUGGCCCUUACAGUACUCUGGUCCCCCUUUUUGUUUGGUUCCUUGAGCCUUGAGGUGGUUGAUAUCAACUUCUAGAAUGUAAGAGAGAAGACUGCUGCAUGGGAGAACCCCAGAGAUCUUCUGGGGUUCUUGCCAGGAUUGUGUACUUGAGUGGUGACCAAUAUGCAUGGAUAAGGAAACUACCUGAGGCUGUGAAGAACCAAACAAAGGGUGGAAGGGGGCAACAGCUGCUGUACACACGGUACCUGUUCCUACUUGCUGGACCUGAGAAACCCAAGAUACUCAAAACACUGAGUCAGAUACUCGAAAAAACUGUCGUAGCUAAUAGAAUAAUAAUGUGUAGAGUGAGCACUGCUUUGGCCCUAACAAAUAUUGAAAACAAGAUUCCCCAGAGAUAAAUAUUUACUUUUAUAAGUUACAUAAUUGUGCCAGAAUAAUAUAAAAAAUAUUUAUAGAAUACAAAGAACAAUGCUGAAAUUCUC
ensembl:lincRNA Gm30173 uncharacterized LOC110319802